rnacentral:ncRNA from 1 species
UAAUCUGACACUUUAUAUAUACUUGGUAAUUGGUCCAAGAGUCUCUACCCUGAAACCGUAAAUAGAAGGGCUAUAAGGUAUCGUUUUUU